GGGUCAGUAGCUCGAAUUGGUUAGAGCACCGGACUCCAAAUCCGGGGGUUGCAGGUUCGAGUCCUGCCUGGCCCG
rnacentral:tRNA from 1 species